rnacentral:rRNA from 1 species
UCCGUAGGUGAACCUGCGGAAGGAUCAUUAUCGUUGGGGCUUCGGCCCCGUCGAGAUAGUACCCUUGCCAUUUAUUAGCGUACCUGUUCGUUUCCUCGGUGGGCUCGCCCGCCAAUGGGGACCAAAACUUAACUCUUGUAUCAUUGUCAUUUAGUCUGAAUAAAAAAUUAAAAAUUAAAACUUUCAACAACGGAUCUCUUGGUUCUGGCAUCGAUGAAGAACGCAGCGAAAUGCGAUAAGUAGUGUGAAUUGCAGAAUUCAGUGAAUCAUCGAAUCUUUGAACGCAUCUUGCGCUCCUUGGUAUUCCAUGGAGCAUGCCUGUUUGAGUGUCACGUAAACCCUCACACUUGCGACUUUAAAAAUCGCGGGGCGUGGAUUUGGACUGUGCCGUAAUCGGCUCGUCCUGAAAUAUAUUAGCUUGGGCUUCGUUAGAGUGCUCGGCACUGGUGUGAUAACUAUCUGCGCCGCCGCCUUAGGCCUCUUCUGUUGAGCGCUGCUUCAAAUCGUCCCUUGCGGACAAUAUUACAUUAAGCUUUGACCUCAAAUCAGGGGUAGGGGACUACCCGGCUGGAACCUUAAGGCAUAUCAAUAAGGCGGGAGGGAAGUCGGACUGGCCAAGGGGCACACAGGGGGGGGGAUA